GGGAUUGCCCUAGUACGGCGAGUGAAGCGGCAACAGCUCAAAUUUGAAAUCUGGCGUCUUCGGCGUCCGAGUUGUAAUUUGCAGAGGGCGCUUUGGCAUUGGCAGCGGUCCAAGUUCCUUGGAACAGGACGUCACAGAGGGUGAGAAUCCCGUACGUGGUCGCUAGCCUUUACCGUGUAAAGCCCCUUCGACGAGUCGAGUUGUUUGGGAAUGCAGCUCUAAAUGGGAGGUAAAUUUCUUCUAAAGCUAAAUACUGGCCAGAGACCGAUAGCGCACAAGUAGAGUGAUCGAAAGAUGAAAAGCACUUUGGAAAGAGAGUUAAAAAGCACGUGAAAUUGUUGAAAGGGAAGCGCUUGCAGCCAGACUUGCCUGUAGUUGCUCAUCCGGGUUUCUACCCGGUGCACUCUUCUAUAGGCAGGCCAGCAUCAGUUUGGGCGGUUGGAUAAAGGUCUCUGUCAUGUACCUCCUUUCGGGGAGAACUUAUAGGGGAGACGACAUGCAACCAGCCCGGACUGAGGUCCGCGCAUCUGCUAGGAUGCUGGCGUAAUGGCUGUAAGCGGCCCGUCUUGAAACACGGACCAAGGAGUCUAACAUCUAUGCGAGUGUUUGGGUGUCAAGCCCGAACGCGUAAUGAAAGUGAACGGAGGUGGGAACCUUUCGGGGUGCACCAUCGACCGAUCCUGAUGUCUUCGGAUGGAUUUGAGUAAGAGCAUAGCUGUUGGGACCCGAAAGAUGGUGAACUAUGCUUGAAUAGGGUGAAGCCAGAGGAAACUCUGGUGGAGGCUCGCAGCGGUUCUGACGUGCAAAUCGAUCGUCAAAUUUGGGCAUAGGGGCGAAAGACUAAUCGAACUAUCUAGUAGCUGGUUCCUGCCGAAGUUUCCCUCAGGAUAGCAGUAACGUUUUCAGUUUUAUGAGGUAAAGCGAAUGAUUAGAGGCCUGGGGGUUGAAACAACCUU
rnacentral:rRNA from 1 species